rnacentral:tRNA from 2 species
AAAUCCGUCGACUUUAAAAUCGUGAGGGUUCAAGUCCCUCUAUCCCC